GCCGAGGUGGUGGAAUUGGCAGACACAGUGGACUUAAAAUCCACUGGCCCUUAGGGCCGUGCGGGUUCAAGUCCCGCCCUCGGCA
rnacentral:tRNA from 1 species